rnacentral:lncRNA from 1 species
GACUCCAAGAAACUCUCUGGGAUGUCUGAGAGUCCGGAACUGCCUCGGAAGAUGAUGGACCGGAAGAAGAUGUCCCGACACCAUCAUGAAACAUCUGAGAGUAAGUAGGUGCUGCUGGCUUUCUUCUAGGAUCCAUCUAGAUUUUUUUUUUAAAUUACAGUUAGUUUUAUCAAUAACGACAUAAUUUAAAAAUAUUAUUCUGAUACCUAACUAAUCACCUAAACUAAUUAUCUAUACUAACCACUUAAAUUAAUUACCUAUACUAACCACUUAAACUAAUUGCCUAUACUAACCACCUAAAACUAAACAAUUAUUUUUAAAAAAAAAUUAGAGAGAGGGAGAGGUUACCUUAGAGGAGUGGAGAGGGAUUUGGGAGGAAUGAACGAGCAAAGCUCGUUCUGAGGCGUCGCCUAUAUAUAAGAAAAGGCAUUUCUCGUAAAGUCAUCGUAAAGUUAUGAAGAAGUUACCAGGCCCGCGUUUUUUCAUUUACGACGAAAUUACCAGGCCCGCUUUUUUCAUUUACGAUGAAGUUACCAGGCCGGUGUUUUUAAAGUUACAACGAAUUUACGUGGAAAAUAUACGACGAAUUUACGUGGACCAGGUUAUGAAGAAUUUACCAGUCGCGUGUUUUUAAUGUUGCAACGAAUUUACGUAGAAAAUUUACAACGAAUUUACGUGGAAAAUUUACGACGAAUUUAUGUGGACCAAGUUACGACGAAUUUACUAGGCCCGUGUUUUUGUUUACGGCGACUUUACGAGUCUUAACCCUAAACCCUGAAACCAGAAAACCUAAACCCCAAAGUUAUUUAUCUUAUAACAUCAUCUUCUUCUUUACAUCUUCUUCCUCUUUAUCCAACUUAAACCCUAAACUCCAAAUUAAGUUUUUAAAACAAAAAAAAACAUAUUAUAUAAAACAACAUAUGUUACACAUACAUUUAGGGGGGUGUAUUCAGUUGAGAGUUUUAGGUGAUUUGUGUCAAAAUGACAAAUCCACUGUUAUU